rnacentral:rRNA from 1 species
GAGUUUGAUCCUGGCUCAGGAUAAACGCUGGUGGCGUGCAUGAGACAAGUAAGUCGAACGGACGAUCAGGGCUUGCUCUGAUCGUUAGUGGCGGACGGCUGAGUAACGCGUGGGCGACCUGCCCCGAAGUGGGGAAUAACUGCCCGAAAGGGUGGCUAAUACCGCAUGUGGUGGAGAAAAUAAUCGGCGCCAGUAAAGCCGCAAGGCGCUUCGGGAGGGGCCUGCGUCCGAUUAGCUCGUUGGUGGGGUAACGGCUCACCAAGGCGACGAUCGGUAGGUGGUCUGAGAGGACGAUCACCCAGACUGGGACUGAGACACGGCCCAGACUCCUACGGGAGGCAGCAGUCGGGAAUUUUGCGCAAUGGACGAAAGUCUGACGCAGCAACGCCGCGUGAGGGAUGACGGCCUUCGGGUUGUAAACCUCUUUUAUCAGGGAAGAUAAUGACGGUACCUGAUGAAUCAGCCACCCUUUUCUUCAAGCCUGCCAGCAGCCGCGGUCAUACG